GAUGAAGAACGUAGCGAAAUGCGAUACUUGGUGUGAAUUGCAGAAUCCCGUGAACCAUCGAGUCUUUGAACGCAAGUUGCGCCCGAAGCCACUAGGCCGAGGGCACGCCUGCCUGGGCGUCACACGUCGUUGCCCCCCCCCCAUCUACUCCUUCGGGAUUGCGGGGGGCGGAAGAUGGCCUCCCGUGCGCCUAGCCGCGCGGUUGGCAUAAAUACCAAGUCCUCGGCGACGCACGCCACGACAAUCGGUGGUUGCGAAACCUCGGUUGCCCGUCGUGUGCGUUCGUCGCGCAUCGAGGGCUCGAAAAAAUGCUCGGCUCCGGCUCGGCUUUCAACGCGACCCCAGGUCAGGCGGGGUUACCCGCUGAAUUUAAGCAUAUCAAUAAGCGGAGGA
rnacentral:misc_RNA from 1 species